GCCGCCUUAGCUCAGUUGGUAGAGCACAUCAUUCGUAAUGAUGGGGUCGCGUGUUCGAGUCACGCAGGCGGCACCA
rnacentral:tRNA from 1 species